rnacentral:ncRNA from 1 species
CUUUUGUAUUGUUUGUAUUGAACUAAUAAACUGAAACAUCUUAAUAGCUAAAGGAAGGGAAAUCAACCAAGACCCGUUAGUAGCGGCGAGCGAGAACGGAUUAGGGUUUGAAGAAAAACAAACACGAAGCUUCGUUUCUCUUUCGAGUAUGAUAAAUCCCUCAGCAACAAAGUGUUCACUUCUUUUUCGCCAGGUUUCAUUCGAUUGGAUGAUGGAAAAACCAGCAAGCCCCUUUCAUUGAAAGGGCGCAAUGAAUUGUAAUUGUGAAAAGGUUGGAAGAUCUGACCAAAGAAGGUGAUAGCCUUGUAGAUUCGUUCCCAUGGUUCAAUCCUUCCCAGUAAAACGCGGCGUGUUCGAAUUCUGAUCGCUUUUACGUGAGAAAGGGAGACCACCCUCUAAGCCUAAGUAUUCCUCAAUGACCGAUAGCGUACAAGUACCGUGAGGGAAAGGUGAAAAGAACCCUAUUUAAGGAGUGCAAUAGA